rnacentral:rRNA from 1 species
AUUGAACGCUGGCGGCAUGCCUUACACAUGCAAGUCGAACGGCAGCACGGGAGCAAUCCUGGUGGCGAGUGGCGAACGGGUGAGUAAUAUAUCGGAACGUGCCCAGUCGUGGGGGAUAACGCAGCGAAAGCUGUGCUAAUACCGCAUACGAUCUACGGAUGAAAGCGGGGGAUCGCAAGACCUCGCGCGAUUGGAGCGGCCGAUAUCAGAUUAGCUAGUUGGUGAGGUAAAGGCUCACCAAGGCGACGAUCUGUAGCUGGUCUGAGAGGACGACCAGCCACACUGGAACUGAGACACGGUCCAGACUCCUACGGGAGGCAGCAGUGGGGAAUUUUGGACAAUGGGCGCAAGCCUGAUCCAGCAAUGCCGCGUGCAGGAUGAAGGCCUUCGGGUUGUAAACUGCUUUUGUACGGAGCGAAACGGUCUUUCCUAAUACGAGAGGCUAAUGACGGUACCGUAAGAAUAAGCACCGGCUAACUACGUGCCAGCCGCGGUAAUAC